rnacentral:rRNA from 1 species
AUUGAACGCUGGCGGCAUGCUUUACACAUGCAAGUCGAACGGCAGCGCGGGCUUCGGCCUGGCGGCGAGUGGCGUACGGGUGAGUAAUACAUCGGAACGUGCCCAGUAGUGGGGGAUAGCUCGUCGACAGCCGGAUUAAUACCGCAUACGACCUGAGGGUGAAAGCGGGGGAUCUUCGGACCUCGCGCUAUUGGUGCGGCCGAUGGCAGAUUAGCUAGUUGGUGGGGUAAAGGCCUACCAAGGCGACGAUCUGUAGCUGGUCUGAGAGGACGACCAGCCACACUGGGACUGAGACACGGCCCAGACUCCUACGGGAGGCAGCAGUGGGGAAUUUUGGACAAUGGGCGAAAGCCUGAUCCAGCAAUGCCGCGUGUGUGAUGAAGGCCUUCGGGUUGUAAAGCACUUUUGGCGGGAACGAAAAGGACUGUGCCAAUACCACGGUUCGAUGACGGUACCCGCAGAAUAAGCACCGGCUAACUACGUG